rfam:Picea glauca, whole genome shotgun sequence.
GAAAAAGCCCUAUUUAGGGCUACCAAAAAAUAUAUUGUCGAAUUAAU